rfam:Nitrosospira sp. 56-18 SCNpilot_expt_300_bf_scaffold_148, whole genome shotgun sequence.
AGGAGCGGUAUGAAUCGAGAGAUUCACGUACCGUUGCGUGAGAGCCUAAAGGUGAGAUUCCUUAGGGCUACUCGAC